rnacentral:lncRNA from 10 species
AGAUUCCUGGGAACACCACCAUGGAGGGCCUGGCCUUUGGCGGUGGACAGUCUGUGGCUGGGUGGGAACGUCAGGAGUGGGGCCUGCCUCUUUGCUGGGAAUGCCGUGCACUCCCAGCCCACUUGCCCCAUGCCAGCACUCGAGGCAGGACUUCGCAGGUGAGCAGUAACGGAAAUCAGCCCCGUUUAUUCCUCCCAGCACCUGCCUUAUCCAACUCCCCACGCUGUGGCUGAGUCCCAGCCUGCUAUGGAAGCAUCACUGGACUCCCAUUGAACUCUGUGCAGAUUCGCUGUUCGUAGACAUGGUACCUGAUGGACACCAAGCUACGUACAGCUUCAAGGCCCCUUCUUUCUUUGCUAAUAAAAAAUAAAAAAUAAAAACAUAAUACACGUUAUAUUUCUAUCUUAUAAUACACAUUUCUUAUUUUUAUCUCAAUAAGCUGAUAUAUAGUAGAUAUACACAUCUCUGACUGUACAUACAUACACAAACACACACACACGUACAUGCAUGUAUAUGCGUAUCUAUCUCCAAUGCAUGUGGAGUGUUGUGCCAGGUCAUCCUCACAUUUAAUUUUUCUGUUCUAUUUAUCAUUCUUAAGGAUUGUCAGGCAUUAGGGAUUUAUCUAUAGCAAUUUGGAUCUUAGCAGUUCUUUUCAUGGGUUAUCUUAUUUUUUCCUUCCAACAACCUUGGAGGCUAUAAAAGGGCAUAUUAUUGCCCUUUUAUAGAUGGGAAUUAAUUUAUUAGCAAACUCAGUUUCAUGAUUUUUUUUUUCUUUUGAGAUGGAGUUUCGCUCUUGUUGCCCAAGCUGGAGUGCAAUGGCACGAUCUCGGCUCACUGCAACCUCUGCCUCCCGGGUUCAAGCGAUUCUCCUGCCUCAGCCACUGGAGUAGCUGGGAUUACAGGCAUGCGCCACCAUAUCUGGCUAAUUUUAUAUGUUUAGUAGAGAUGGGGUUUCUCCAUGUUGGUCAGGCUGGUCUCGAACUCCCAACCUCAGGUGAUCCACCUGCCUUGGCCUCCCAAAGUGCUGGGGUUACAGGCGCGAGCCAUUGUGCCUGGCCAGUAUCAUGGAUAUUUUUAAAGUGCUUGUUGUGUGUUGGGCACUACUAUGUCCUGCAUUUAGAAAUAGAACUCAUUCCUAUUCUCUGCUUUCCCAUGGAGAGAGGCACAAACCUGCGGGUAUAGGUGGGUAUAGUUUCUUAAUGUGCACACCAUCGUAAAGUGGAGACCCUGUGCGUGAGAUGUGUGCUGUGUACAGGGUGGGCAGGAGAGAGACUGGUGAGGGGAUGAUGCCCUUAUGCUGGAAGGGGCAAGAUGAAGCCUCUCUGGGUUUGGUGGGACCUUGGAGACAUCUGCCUAGUGUGUGGUCACCCAGAGGCCAAGGAUGUGCUGUUUCUACUUGCUUGCUGCUUUCUCUGGGAGUGGCCAUUUCUUCCAAGGCAGUGUAAGAGCCUGGGCAUAGGAGCCAGGCAGAACUGUGUGGGGAUGUUGCCUCCAUAGCUUUCUAGAUGAGCAACCUUAGGAAAGUUUGAACAGUUUCUCUACAUCCUGGGUUCUUCAUCCAUGAAAUGGGAAUUAUUGUUUGAGCCUCUAAAGUGAGACAGUCAAAUGAGAUGGGCAUUUGAAGCCUUCAGCAGGGUUCCAGCCUCACAGCUAACUCUCAACUAGCUGUGAUGGUUACAGAGCUGUAGGUUGCUCAUAAGUCAACAUUGUAGUUGCUGGAGCCAUCAACUCAGCUAUAGGAUACAACACUGAGCCCUUUUCACUAUCCUUUGAUGGGUCUCCUUUUCCCUAGUAUGGGCCAUCGGCUAAGGUGAUUGAAAAAGGGCCUUUCAUGUUUUCAAAGGGGCAAAGAAACUUCAGUAGUUGGUUGGGCAUUUUAUUGAGUAGAGGUGACUCCAUGCAGUUCUUUUUGGGGGAAGGAUGCUGCACAUUCCAGGGUUUAACAAAAAUUUAUUGAAUGCUUACUUUGCCCCAGGUACCUGUCUUGGUAAAGGUGAUAAAUAAGACAGCCUCAUCCUCAUCUUCAUCAAGCCACCAGUCUGGUGGUGGUGACUGGGGUGGGGACUGCUGAGGCAUUGGGCCCCUUGAAGCCUUCCCUCUGGGUGUCUUCCUCCCCAGGAUGGUCUGGGCUCUCUCGGGAUGGGAGGAAGUUGGUCUGAAAGUGCCUCAGUGAUCGCUGAAAUAGGUUUGCCAAAGAUAGAGGGGAAAGAGUUGGCCAGCCUUUGUUUAGGGACUCCCAGAAUGGUCUUAGGUCAGGAAAGAGUGAAUGGGUACAUUUCUCCCAAUUUCUGGGCUGGAGAUUCCAAACUGACUCCUUCAUGGCAGGCUUCCUUAUCUCUGCAACAUUUGUUUACAUGUUCCCUUCAUAGAUUUCUAACAGGAUGAAGACUUUGUUCCUUGGGGUAAGGGUCUACCUCCAGGUGUGUGGGGAAAAGUUGAGAAGCUGCUAAAUUCUUGGCUUUGACUUAUCAAUGGUUUUUCGGAGGGCCUGGAGCUGGGCUGGGACUGAUCAAAUUUGGUAAUUGCUUAGGCAGCCUCCACUUUUGUUGCUCCUGGGGCCAGAUGGCGUUGGGCUAGAAACAAUAUCGGGGAGUUCUGUUUGGUUUUAACUGCUGUACCUGGGUGCUCUGUUAUCCAACCAGGCCCUCUCCUAAGUUCUCUUCUUUUUUUUUGAGACAGAGUUUCACUCUUGUUGCCCAGGCUGGAGUGUAAUGGCGCUAUCUCACAGCAACCUCUGCCUCCCAGGUUCAAGCCAUUCUCCUGCCUCAGCCGCCGUAGUAGCUGGGAUUACAGGCAUGCACCACCACACCCAGCUAAUUUUGUAUUUUUAGUAGAGACGGGGUUUCUCCAUGUUGGUCAGGCUGGUCUCGAGCUCCGGACCUCAGGUGAUCUGCCCGCCUCGGCCUCCCAAAGUGCUGGGAUUACAGGCGUGAGCCCUGUAAUCCCGGUGCCCAGCCAGUUCUCUUCUUUUUUUAAGCCUCUUCCUUUAGAAGGAAGAAAACAUAAUCUAUAUGCUGGCUGGCUCUACACAGCAGCAGGCAUCACAAGGGGUUUUUGUCUGCUUUUGCUUCUGAAGGUGAACCCACUAUCUAUUUAGAGAGGCCAGGUCAGGGUGUGUGUGUGUGUGUGUGUCUUUUUCCCUAGGGUGGGUAUUUUCAUUCAGGAAGGUGUUGUUAUGAUCCCCUGUUGUAGAAGAAGCAGUGAAGUUUUAGGGAGAUGAAGUGCUUUGUCUGAUGUCACACAACUGAUAGAUGACAGAAUCACAUAUGUAUUCAGGGGUCUGGUCCAAAGCCUAGAAGAAGGUGAGCCAUGCGUGGCCCGAUGGCACAGAGCAUGAGCUCUGGUUGCACAAUCGUGGGAGGUUACUUAAUCUUGAGAAACCUCAGUUUUCUUAUCUGUAAAAUGGGACAGUAUGUAUCCCAAAGGGCCAUUUUGACCAUUUAUCAAAGUCAGUUUCUCCUCCGUAUGGAGCGGAGAACAGUGUCCAGCAUGCAGUACGUGCUCUGAUGAUCUUGGCUGUAAUGACCAUCCUGGUUAGGGUGGAUUUGGCCAAAAGCUGGAGUAACUGGUAGCUUCCUGAUCUGAGAGGUGUCAGUGGGUGGUGUGGCCCAAAGAUUGAGAAUCUUGUCAGGGGUGGCCACGUGAGGGUGGAAGUGGUUUGAAUGAGGAAUGGUCUUGAGGUAAGAGUUGGACAAACAGUGUCUUCUCUCUCUCUCUCUUUUUUUUUUUUUUUUUUUUUUUUACUUUUUUUUGAGAUGGAGUUUUGCUCUUUUUGCCCAGGCCAGAGUGCAAUGGCGCGAUCUUGGCUCACCACAACCUCCGCGUCCCAGGUUCAAGUGAUUCUCUUGCCUCAGCCUCCCGAGUAGCUGGGAUUACAGACAUGCACCACCCACGCCCGGCUAAUUUUGUAUUUUUAGGAGAGAUGGGGUUUCUCCAUGUUGGUCGGGCUGGUCUCCAACUCCCGACCUCAGGUGUUCUGCCUGCCUUGGCCUCCCAAAGUGCUGGGAUUAUAGGCGUGAGCCACCCCACCUGGUCGACAGUGUCUUCUCUAAGCAGAACUGUAGCCCUGAAGCGCCCAGGCUAGAACUCUCUAUUGAAUGAGGAUCACUCCAUUGUGCCAGCUGCUCUCAUAUUGCUUUGAUGGCCUUUCUCAGAAAGGAGAAAGGUGGUGCUGGGUGUGGCUUUGGCUUCCUAUGGCCGCCCCAAUGCUGGUCUGACACUUUCUGAAUCUGGUUUGUGGUUGGAUCUGUGCAUCCUACCGCUCCACUCCAUGUCCUGGCCUUGGAGAAAUCAUUUCCCUCCCGCCGUGAUUGUUCACCUUCAAAGGUCAACAAAGGCAGUAGGCACUGCUGAGCUCUUGCAGCCUUCAGGGCUGAGCUGCUUCCUCUCCUGCUUCCAGUGAGGGGUUGCUUGAGGGUGCCUUUAGGAAGGAACCUCACCCCUAAUGUAACUUGAGCAGGUCUUUGCUCUAAACUCUUCGCUGGGAACAUACCCUCCCGUGGGACUUGGCAUGGCACCCACCUCUGCAGAGCCACCUGUGCCACAGAAUAACCUCUUCUCCCUAGACACACUGUGUGUCCUUGGUUGGAUUCUCUAGAUGGGAGGGACCGGCUGAAGCAUAACUGUGUAUGUUCACAUAUGUGCCUUGGAAGAGUUUUAUACAGGAAAGGAUUUGUAAAUCAGAAAAAUGAAUGCUGGUAUCUAAUUUCCUGUCCCCGUUUUAAGUCCAGACCAAGUCACCUAACCCCUCGGGCUUGCAGCCCGCAUCAUCCACUGGGUGAUUACCUUGAGUUAUCUGGUUCAGUCCCUUUGCUGUGGGCACCCUCUUUACCUCUACAAGUAAACUGCAAUUAAUCUGACAGCAGGGGCAAGGGAACUGACGAGUCUUGGGUGCAAAUCUUGAGAUGCUUUGGCACAUUAUCUAAUUCAUUGUUUUUCUUUUCUUUUUUCUUUUCUUUUCUUUUUUUUUUAGACAGGCUGGAGUGCAGUGGCACGAUCUUGGCUCACUGCAACCUCUGCCUCCUGGGUUCAAGUGAUUUUUGUGCCUCUAGCCUCCUGAGUAGCUGGGAUUCCAGGUGUGUGCCAUCACGCCCAGCUAAUUUUUGUAUUUUUAGUAGAGACAGGGUUUUGCCAUGUAGGUCAGGCUAGUCUAGAAGUCUGGCCUUAAGUGAUCCACCCUCCUUGGGCAGGGUGCCACCUGCCUGAAAGAAAAUGCCCACCCUAGGGAAAAAGACACACACACACACACACACACACACACACACAGAGAGAGAGAGAGAGAGAGAGAGAGAGACCAACGUGGCCUCUCUAAAUAGGUAGUGGGUUAACCUUCAGAAGCAAAGGCAGACAAAAACCACUUGUGAUACCUGCUGCUGCGUAGAGCCAGCCAGCAUAUAGAUUAUGCUUUCUUCCUUCUGAAGGAAGACUCUAGGAUUACAGGAGUGAGCCUGGCCCCAAUUCAAUUCAAUCUUUAUGGGCAUCGAACAAGGGCAUUAUUUAUUACCCAUGGUUUACAGAAGUCAAACCCAAGUCUCAGAGAGGGAAGACAUUUUUUAGUCUCACUGCGAAAGUAACAGAGCUAGAAUUUAGUCUCUGUCACGCUAAAUCGUGCUACAUGCUCCGUCUAGUUCAGAGCCUGUGUGGAGGUCGACACUGGAGUCCCUCAGUUUUCCUCAUCAGGCUCCUGGUCUGAUUCUUCCAAGAUCAGUCUCUUUCCCUCAGCGGAAGCCAGCUGGGAAUCACUGGCCUUGUAACCUCUUCAGGCGACCUCCUUGGGAUGUUCACAAGGAGCAUAGCCAUCUGGAGAAUGAUACUGUUUUUUCCUAGGGCUGGGAUGGGGGUGGUAUCCCUCACAUCAUUCCAGAAACAGCGCCAGCCCUGCUUUUAUCAGCGGGGGCCACAAAGAGGCGACAAGCCCUGAUCAAAUGUGAGCGAGAUUGACAAUCUCAGCACUUUCCAGGGAAAGGAUGCCGUCCCACAUGGCUUCAGGCCUCCGAGGAAGCCCCAUCCUGAGACAGAGAGACCCCAAAUCACAGUGUGUUUCCUUUUGGCCAGAGAUGAGGCUUACUCAUCUCAGACAGCUGUGUCCACGGCAUGUUCCUCAAGGACAGCUGCUCCAGAUGAAAAGAAGAGAUGCUCCCAGAGCCUUGAGGGGCUGCUGAUAGGAACCCAAGGCCUCACCCUGGGGCUGUAUCCUGUGGCUUCAAAAAUAUAUGUAUUUGAAAGCUUCUAGCAAAACAGAUUACACAAGAACGCAAAUGUAAGAUCCCUUUGGGAUUCUAACUUUUUUUCUUAAGGUGUUUAAAGAAAAAUGACACCCUUAAAAAGAAAUGCCAUUUGUUUUCAAAGCUGCAGCACCAGAGGACAUGGAAGAGAAAGGCUGAAGUGUCCCUGAAAAUGAGUGAAGAUUCCAGUCUGUUUUUACUAAUGUCCAAAAUCUUAGGUUUAUUGCCUUUGCGUUCCUCUGCCCCAGGGUCUCUGUGUGGCAGGCGAGUGGGUCUCGUUCGAUGGUGCAGUCAUCGUGUGGCGGAAUGCAUGCUCACACAGGGAAGUUGGUUGAGCGUCUCCUUUGAGCAGUCCUUCCUCUGGUGAGGUGCACAGGCGGGCAUCAUGCCCAUUUCAUAGAUGAGGAAACUGAGGCUGAGAGGGAUGCUGCAAUUUAGGACUUCUGGGUGAUAUCACAGAAGCCUCAUUCUCUUUUGUGGCAUGUACCUUCUCUAUUUGGGAAGUUAAAUUGGACUAUGGGGAUUGGACCAAGGGGUCUUCUUGCUUCCGCUUUCUCUAGGCCAAGGCUUUGCAGUUAUGGAGGAAGAAAGAGCUGGGGUCUGUCUUGGCAACCCUGUGACUCUUCUCCCCUAUCCUCACCUGCCUUCUCACUUGACCAACAUAUUUUAAGGGCUCCAUGUACAAAGGUGGGGCUGUGGCCCUUUCCCAACCAGCACCUUGGCCCUGUACCCUGAUAUGGGAUGGUUAAGGCACACAGGCUUCAUGGAUGGGGGCCUACGACCGCAGAUGGAGCAGAGGUGGACAGGGUAUGGUCCGGCAGGUGGAGGUGCUGGAGAAAAGCCGCGUUAGGCAGCACGGGAGCCAGGUGCGGGGUCUCUCAAAGCCUCGAGUCCCUGGCAGUGCUGUGCUCUGUGAGGACUGCUUUUGACUGCAGGGCACUGACACUCAUACCUUUUGCUUCUGCAG